GUGCAGAAGAGGAGAUAAGAAAUCCACGUGUAGCGGUGAAAUGCCCAGAUAAUUCGGGGAACACCAGUGGCGAAGGUGGCUCUCUGGUCUGUAACCGACGAUGAGGCUGGAAAGCGUGGGGAGCAAACAGGAUUAGAUACCCGGAGUUCUGCCUAAACGUUGAGUACUAAGUGAGGAGGGUAACGCCAACAGGUGCAGCAAACGCAUUAA
rnacentral:rRNA from 1 species